rnacentral:rRNA from 1 species
UACGAAGGGGCUAGGCGUUGUUCGGAUUUACUGGGCGUAAAGCGCACGUAGGCGGAUCGAUCAGUCAGGGGUGAAAUCCCAGAGCUCAACUCUGGAACUGCCUUUGAUACUGUCGAUCUGGAGUAUGGAAGAGGUGAGUGGAAUUCCGAGUGUAGAGGUGAAAUUCGUAGAUAUUCGGAGGAACACCAGUGGCGAAGGCGGCUCACUGGUCCAUUACUGACGCUGAGGUGCGAAAGCGUGGGGAGCAAACAGG